UACGUAGGGGGCAAGCGUUUGUCCGGAAUCAUUGGGCGUAAAGCGCGUGUAGGCGGCCCGAUAAGUCCGCUGUGAAAGUCCAGGGCUCAACCCUGGGAUGCCGGUGGAAACCGUCUGGCUAGAGUCCGGAAGAGGAGAGUGGAAUUCCCGGUGUAGCGGUGAAAUGCGCAGAUAUCGGGAAGAACACCCGUGGCGAAGGCGGCUCUCUGGGACGGUACUGGACGCUGAGA
rnacentral:rRNA from 1 species